rfam:Oryza meridionalis cultivar OR44 (W2112) chromosome 1, whole genome shotgun sequence.
AAUAAAUGCAGCCAUGAGUUUCCGCGUCCAACUUUGAUCGUCUGUCUUAUUUAAAAUUUUUUGAAAUUAGCAUUUUUGUUGUUAUAAGAUGAUAAAACAUGAAUAGUACUUUACUCUUCACUUAUGGUUUUUCUUAUCAAAAUUUUUUCAAAUAAGACGAAUGGUUAAAGUUGAGCGCGAAAAACCAUGACUGCACUUAUU